GAGUGACAGGUGGUGCAUGGUUGUCGUCAGCUCGUGUCGUGAGAUGUUGGGUUAAGUCCCGCAACGAGCGCAACCCUUGAUCUUAGUUGCCAGCAUUCAGUUGGGCACUCUAAGGUGACUGCCGGUGACAAACCGGAGGAAGGUGGGGAUGACGUCAAAUCAUCAUGCCCCUUAUGACCUGGGCUACACACGUGCUACAAUGGGCAGAACAAAGGGCAGCGAAGCCGCGAGGCUAAGCCAAUCCCACAAAUCUGUUCUCAGUUCGGAUCGCAGUCUGCAACUCGACUGCGUGAAGCUGGAAUCGCUAGUAAUCGCGGAUCAGCAUGCCGCGGUGAAUACGUUCCCGGGCCUUGUACACACCGCCCGUCACACCACGAGAGUUUGUAACACC
rnacentral:rRNA from 1 species